GAACGAGAAAGCGGGGGCAACUCCGUGAGUAAAGUGGCGACCGGGUGAGUAACACGUGACUAACCUACCCUAGAGUGGGGGAUAACCUCGGGAAACCGGGGCUAAUACCGCAUAACAUCACCGGGUGAAAUUCCUGGUGAUCAAAGGAGCAAUUCGCUGAAGGAGGGGGUCGCGGCUGAUUAGCUAGUUGGUGAGGUAACGGCUCACCAAGGCUUUGAUCAGUAGCCGGCCUGAGAGGGCGCACGGCCACACUGGAACUGAAACACGGUCCAGACUCCUACNGGAGGCAGCAGUGGGGAAUNUUGCGCAAUGGGGGAAACCCUGACGCAGCAACGCCGCGUGGAGGAUGAAGUCCCUUGGGAUGUANACUCCUUUCGAUCGGGACGAAUAUGACGGUACCGGAAGAAGAANNGCACGGCUACUCUGUG
rnacentral:rRNA from 1 species